AUAGGUUAGACAAUGGAUUUGUAUAGGAUGGUUUGGAUAGAGAUGAUCCUACCUCUGGCAGGGAGUUGGUCUAGAUGAUCUCCGAAAGUCCCUUCCAGCCCUAACUGGUUUAUGAUCC